rnacentral:lncRNA from 1 species
CGGGAACGCGCGGCGCCGCCAGCCCCGGCUGGGCUCCGCACCCGCGCAGCGGCCGCGGGGGCGGUGCGGUGCGGGCGGGGGAGCGGCUGCGCGGCNNNNNNNNNNNNNNNNNNNNNNNNNNNNNNNNNNNNNNNNNNNNNNNNNNNNNNNNNNNNNNNNNNNNNNNNNNNNNNAAUAAAAUACAUUUUAAGAAAAGAAAAAAAAAAAUCAUAUCUACCUGGAAGGGGGGUGGGAGGGAGAGGAUGGGGACAGAAAGUGUUUUCUGGGGGCAGCUGGUGGCUCGGGUUGGAGAGGAGCAGCAGAUCAGGGGAGAGCGCCUUUUUGCCUUUCCGCUCCGGGGCAGAGAGAGGGGAAGAGGAGAAAACCGGGGAGGAAGGCCCCGAGGAGGACGAAGGGAGGGGAGCGGGGGGAGAUCCUUGCAAGCUUAGGGGUAGGGGCGAGCCGCGGGCGGCGAUGUGAUGCGGCACACACACACACACACAUCAACACAUACACACCAACACACACACACCCCCACGUCCAGCCAGGGGCGGGCAGAGCCGCCGCCGCCCCCCCGGGAGCGGCCGGGGGAGGUGCCUCGGUCCCCCCCAGCGGGGAGGGGGCACGGCGGGGCCGGGAGGGGCUGGCGGGAGCUGCCGGCGCGGAUGCCUUCACCUGGGGCUCUUCAUCAGUGAGCCAGGCAAGGAAGAGGAGGAGGAGGAGGAGGAGGAGGAGAAGAGGCGGUCGGGUCUGGAGAACUACCGCUGGAUGGUUUGAAAAAUUGAAAAAAAAAAAAAAAAAAAAAAAAAGAAAAAAAAAAAGCCCCAACUCUGCAAUCCUCUGCUCCCCACAGGCUCAGCACCAUAAGGGACUGCUAUAUUUGAGGCUGUCAGGAGGAUGGGAGAGAGAGACUGAGAGUCAGAGCGGGAGAGAGACGGUUCCACAGCAGCGGAAGAAGCUGAGGUAAGAUUACGUGUGACUACUUCACAGAAACUCAGAAUCACAGAGCAGCUGAACAGGGAAGGCAUCUCUGGAGAUCACCUGGUCCAACUCCCUGCCCAGAGCAGGGUCACCUACAGCAGGUUGCCCAAGCUGUGUCCAGUUGAGUUUUGAAUCUCUCAAAGGAUGAAGACUCCACAGACCCUCUGGGGAACCUGUUUCGGUGCUUGAUCACCAUCAUAGUAAAAAAGGUGGUUUUUUUCGGUUUAAAUGGAAUUUAUUGUAUUUCAAAUGUUUAUCUCAGAGAUAAACUAGUUUAAAAGUUAACAUGGAUACAUACAACCUUUUCAGGAGGAUUUUUUGUUUUCCUCCAGAAGUAAUUUACAUGUUUGAAGUUCAAAAUGUAAAGAUACUUGUCUUUGUUCCCAUCAACAAAGAGACGCUAUUUAGACCCUUGAAUGCAGGUACAUCUCACAGUGACUGUUUAAGUCGGGCCCUAUAUGUUGUAACUAUCAACCACAGUUACAGGAAGACCAUUGAAACAGUUAAAUGUGUUUUGAAGCACACUGCAACUGUUAACUGAUUAAUUGAGUUAAAAGGUUUCUAUGGGGCAGUGUUGCCAAGUCAGUUAAGAUAUUAACAGGACCCUAAACUGAUUUGUGGAAAUAUACGCUUAACAUGUGUGUAACUUUCUUUCUUCAAACUGAGGUUUAGUAGCUGGAAGGACUGCAAGUGGGGCAGGACAGGAGAAUCAGGAUGCAGAGCAUUGUACAGAACACUAGUCUUGAUUAUUAUUCAAAAUGGAUACAUCUAUAUUGUGUGUGCGAAACACAUAGGGCCUUUUGGACUGUUUCUCUUAAGUUUUUUAGACUCCAGUAGUAUCUCCAUACAGGAAACAAACUCUUUAAACCCAAUACUACAUUCACAUCUACCCUACAAUAACAGAAAAGUUGUUUCUUACACUUUUAAGACCACUCCCAACAGCCCUUUGGUGUGUUAAUGGUGAAUUGGAGUCUGUUGCUUUGAUUUCCCUUUGUUGCAAUCACUUUGUCAUACCUCUAUCGAAGUAAGGAGCCAGGCUUUUAACUUCCUUACCUUGAUUUUCAAAAAAAUAAAUCUACCCUUGCAUUUGCA